rnacentral:rRNA from 1 species
UACGUUCCCGGGUCUUGUACACACCGCCCGUCACACCAAGGGAGCGGGUUUUACCAGAAGUAGGUAGCUUAACCGCAAGGAGGGCGCUUACCACGGUAGGAUUCGUGACUGGGGUG